GACGAACGCUGGCGGCGUGCUUAACACAUGCAAGUCGAGCGGUAAGGCCCUUCGGGGUACACGAGUGGCGAACGGGUGAGUAACACGUGGGUGAUCUGCCCUGCACUUCGGGAUAAGCCUGGGAAACUGGGUCUAAUACCGGAUAGGACUCCUGGCUUCAUGGUUGGGGGUGGAAAGCUUUUGCGGUGUGGGAUGGGCCCGCGGCCUAUCAGCUUGUUGGUGGGGUAAUGGCCUACCAAGGCGACGACGGGUAGCCGGCCUGAGAGGGUGAGCGGUCACACUGGGACUGAGAUACGGCCCGGACUCCUACGGGAGGCAGCAGUGGGGAAUAUUGCACAAUGGGCGCAAGCCUGAUGCAGCGACGCCGCGUGAGGGAUGACGGCCUUCGGGUUGUAAACCUCUUUCAGCUAUGACGAAGCGCAAGUGACGGUAGUAGCAGAAGAAGGACCGGCCAACUACGUGCCAGCCGCCGCAGUAA
rnacentral:rRNA from 1 species